rnacentral:tRNA from 1 species
GGUGUUGUUCUGGGUUAGUGGUAUCGCGUCAGGUUCCCAACCUGAAGGUCGCGGGUUCGAUCCCCGCUGAUGCCG